rnacentral:rRNA from 1 species
CGUAGGUAAUCUACCUUCGGAUGGGGAAUAACAACCGGAAACGGUUGCUAAUACCGCAUAAUGCAGCGGCACCUAAUGGUGACAGUUGUUAAAGCGGGGGAUCGCAAGACCUCGCGUCUGGAGAGGAGCCUGCGGCGGAUUAGCUAGUUGGUAGGGUAACGGCCUACCAAGGCGACGAUCCGUAGCCGGCCUGAGAGGGCGGUCGGCCACACUGACACUGACAUACGGGUCAGACUCCUACGGGAGGCAGCAGUCGGGAAUUUUGGGCAAUGGGCGAAAGCCUGACCCAGCAACGCCGCGUGAAGGAUGAAAUCCCUCGGGAUGUAAACUUCGCAAGAACGGGAAGAAUAAGUCUGCGUUAACAUCGUAGAUGAUGACGGUACCGUUUGUAAGCUCCGGCUAACUCCGUGCCAGCAGCCGCGGUAAUACGGGGGGAGCAAGCGUUGUUCGGAUUUACUGGGCGUAAAGGGCGCGUAGGCGGCCACUGCAAGUCAGUUGUGAAAUCUCCGGGCUUAACUCGGAAAGGUCAACUGAUACUGCAGGGCUAGAGUGCGGAAGGGGCAACUGGAAUUCUCGGUGUAGCGGUGAAAUGCGUAGAUAUCGAGAGGAACACCUGCGGC